rnacentral:misc_RNA from 1 species
GAAAUGCGAUAAGUAAUGUGAAUUGCAGAAUUCAGUGAAUCAUCGAAUCUUUGAACGCACAUUGCGCCCCUCGGUAUUCCGGGGGGCAUGCCUGUUCGAGCGUCAUUGCACCCCUCAAGCGUAGCUUGGUAUUGGGCCCUCGUCCUCGCGGACGUGCCCGAAAAACAGUGGCGGUCCGGUGUGACUUCGAGCGUAGUAAAUAAUCUCCCGCUUUGGAAGCCUUCGCAUCGUGGCCAGCCAGAAUCCCCACACUUUCAAUGAUUGACCUCGGAUCAGGUAGGGAUACCCGCUGAACUUAA